UACGUAGGGUGCAAGCGUUAAUCGGAAUUACUGGGCGUAAAGCGUGCGCAGGCGGUUUUGUAAGUCUGUCGUGAAAUCCCCGGGCUCAACCUGGGAAUUGCGAUGGAGACUGCAAGGCUAGAAUCUGGCAGAGGGGGUAGAAUUCCACGUGUAGCAGUGAAAUGCGUAGAGAUGUGGAGGAACACCGAUGGCGAAGGCAGCCCCCUGGGUCAAGAUUGACGCUCAUGCACGAAAGGCGUGGGAGCAAACAGG
rnacentral:rRNA from 1 species